AUACCAUCACAAGUAUCAAUCAGAUUCAUAAAAUAUAUUCAGGAGUUAAAAGGUUCUCAGACCAGUAAUUCUCAUAGAUAUACUCAGAGAUGCAUCAGAAGUUUCAAUAAACAGAUGAGACUACAUAGCAAGAGAAGUUUAAUAAACAGCCAACUAAAACAGCAUAAUCUGUGAUUAUAAU